rnacentral:lncRNA from 1 species
AGCUGUAAUAGAGGAAACAGACAUGACCAGGGAAGAGAUUAGGUAUGAGCAUUUGUGCAUUGAACAAGAUUGCAGAGCACGCUCUUUCUUUUUCCAGUUUUGUUUUUAGAUACAGUCUAAUUUGAGAUUGUUAGCCCGCAUUUCAUUACAGUGCUAGUAUAGUUUGUACUUACAUUGUGCUCAAAAAUAUCUGAAUAGGAGCUUUACCUAAAACAUUUGUUCGGCUAAUUGGAAUUGAAAGCCAUUGUGUUUAUAUAUUUUUUUCUCAAUGAAAAGGAUCAAAGCAAAGAGCCUCCGUAUGGUGCUGAUGUCCUUCGCUGGUGGGUAGCUGAUUCCAAUGUCUUCACCGAAGUUGCAAUUGGCCCAUCCGUGCUCAAUGCUGCCAGAGAUGAUAUUAGCAAGCUUAGGAAUACACUUCGCUUUCUUUUGGGAAAUGUGGCUGAUUUCAACCCAGAAACAGAUUCCAUCCCUGUAAACGAUAUGUAUGUCAUAGACCAGUACAUGCUACACUUACUGCAGGAUUUGGCAAACAAGAUUACCGAAUUAUACAAACAAUAUGAUUUUGGAAAA